ensembl:lncRNA
GUCACCUUCUAAUGCUGACAAAGAAGUUCAGGCCUCUAAGGAUGUAGACUUUAAGUGUGAGAGAUGAGAGUUACUUCUGGAUCUAACUCAACACCAACACUCAGGAGUCCACCAGGUUAGUAUGGAGGAUGCAUCUGACCAGAAUGGGAGAAUAGUAAGUUCUUCAGGUACACUGAAAGAGCUCUCACUCUGUGUAGGUACACAGAGAACAAAAUAGUCUUGUCUACCUGGACAUCUGGUCUAAAUGAGGAAAACAGCACUCAUGGACUUCUCCGUUUGGGAAAGGGGUUGGAGUAGGAGCAGUAUAUAUAUAUAUAUCCUGUCCACUUGAAAGUCAUGCAGUUUUUUUUUGAGGGAACCUCAGAAUCUUGAAUCACUGUGAAACAUGUCUGCCAGUACCAGAAUCCUUCCUGAGUGGAGAAUUUUACCAGGAUGGAGGAAACCCUGAGCAUUCAUAUAUAUUGAACUCUUGAAGGGCACCCAGUUUGACAGGGAACCUCUAAGGCCUGAAUCACUGUGAAACAUGCUGUCUACAAGAACUAGAACCCUUCCUGAGAAGAUUAUACACUUCCAAAUCAUCAGAGGCCAAAAGUAAUGAUGAAUAAGGUGACAGGUAUUCUGGUGACCUGUCACCCCAUCAAGAGCCCUAUAACCAAUGUAACAUUCAGCAAUGCAGUUCACUCCAGGGCAGCUGUUACUGUUCCAGAAUCCCUGCAGACAGGAAAGCUAAAGAGGCUUCCUCCUCCCUGUUGACUUUGUCUUCUCAGGGAGCUUAAGCAGUUUAGUCCCUACAGAUUUCUCAACCUGCCUGGAAUGCUCUGCUAAUUCUGUGUUCCAGUACUCUUCAACGGUGAGUCAAGAGAAUACCACAGAUGUUUGCAACUCUGAUCCAGUCUAAGAUUCCAGUGCUCACAAGCAAAGAGUGGAAAAAGAUUUCUGUGGCUUCUCCAUUAAUGUUGUCCCAAAUAAAGCUCUGGAGGACUUCAGUGUGGGAGCAUGUACAGUACCUUGACUAGAGUCUGGUGUCUAGGGAAUGAAGUGUGUCCUCAUUAAGACAAGAGGAUACAAGAGGACUGCCAGAUUACAUACAGAACACAUGGUGUCCUGAUAUGGAGCCCAAAGGCUACUGAGAAAUCUAAUGCCUAUAUGAGUGAACCUGAACAUGAACAGUGUAGAUGAAUGUGGUCCCCUUCAGUUCAAGCUGCAAUGUUGUCAUCAUCUCCUGUUCAAGCCUAUGUCCCAGUAAAACUUUGACAAGGCUAUUCUGCCCUUCAAGCUCAUAUGAUGAUUGUCCAUAUGGGAGACCUGGCCUUGCAAGUUGCUUCUGUCACUGAGGAGACAGAAAGCAGAGGAGGAAUUUAACAGUGGAGGCUGUAUGCAAAAGUGAUGUGGAGCCCAGCUGUACCUGGAAGCUACAUGGUGCAACCCCUGAGCCACUCUUCAGACCUUCAUUCUACUCUGGUGUCUUCUAGUGACAGCCCUGCUAGCCAAUGACAACAACUUCUUCCUGACUCUUCCCCAACCUUGCUUCCCAGUGUUGAGACUUGAAGAGCACAGAGGAGGGCCUCUGUAGAUCAGUCAGUGGGUUUGGACCAUCAACUGCUACCACUGUUUUUAUUUGGGAUUAUGUUCUAAUUGUGGGAUGUCUGACAGAGCUAGGCUCCCAGUUUUUGCUAUGGAACCUGUUCUUCACUUCUUGGACUGUGCCUGCUCUAGUCCUCUUUUACCAUCAUGAAAGCCAUUAUUCCCUUCACAGUCCUGACAUUAUUCUUACAUACAAGGAGUAAGUAUGUAGAUUCACUCUGAGAUGUGACCACAGCUUCUAAACUGUCUAUGUGAAGUAGUUUGAUCUGCUCUUUUGUCAGUUGCUAUUCAGUAAGCAUUGUGAUGUGCAAGGCUCUCAGUAGGUGCCAGAUGCCAGGAUUAUUAGUGUGAUGAACAAGCUGUGCCCAAGGAGCUGAUGCAGUUUCCAGAGUACAGGACAUCCAGGAAGACAGAGGUGGUGAGGUAAGUCCACAUGGAAAUGGGUAAAAACAGUAAUAAAACUGUUAGUUCCCAUCCUCAUAAAGAUUGUUGGGAAACACUGUGUCUGAGAAAACAGCUCUGUAGAACUGAACCUGGAGAGAAAGAAGGCAUGAGACAGAGGGCCAUGUGACAGGCAGUCACCAUAAAUGACUGGGUCUGUUAAGUAUCUGUGAUACUGUGAUAGCUAUUUAUGGACACCCUAAAGAAAAUGUAUUGUAAUUUAUCACUUGGUGAAAUGGUGUUCUCCACGCAGAGCACAGGCCCUGGGAGUGUUGGGUAUUGCUACAUGUCAAAGGCCUGAAGUGUCCACUGCUCUUGUGCUGGUGGUGGGAUUGUCAGAAGAUGAGGAGGCCAUCCUGACAGAGGGACAAACAAACAACAGCCCAUGUUGCUGCACAUGGCUAACCAUCGUUGAUUUUGCAUGUCAGUUUCUAAGCCGAUAUAACCAGCUAUUAUUCUGAUAUACAAUAAAGCAGUCGAGGAUCAUGAGGCUUUCCUGACUGAAGCAACACAGGUUGGAGCCAAACUCCCAAGGCUGUGACCAAAGUCCUUCCCUGUUUUUUUACUGCUGAGGACAGUCUGAACUGAAAGUCUGGACCUGAUCUCUCCAUGAAGGCAAAACCUCUUGAACUCUCAUUUUGAAGUGCAGUUGUAGCUAAUGCUGCUUCUGAUUCAAAAAUCUAGUUCAAUAUGUGAAAAUAUACACUUUUCAACCUCCAACCUGGAACAUUCUGUCUCAGAGAGGACCUUGUUUAUACUUCAAAGGAAAGACAAGAUCCUGGUGCUUUCCCACAAGAAGUUGCUCAAUAUGGCUACCAGGCAGGCCAAACAUAAGCCUCUGUCUGCAGACAGGAGGGCACCAACAAUGUGUCAAGCAACCUCAUCUGGAUCAUCACAAGCAUCUGUAGUGUGGAUAUCUGGUCAACAUGGUAUGGCCUCUCCCUUCCCUGGUUGCCACCAACAAGUGUGAUAUAGGUCAUCCAUUUCAGUGCCAAGAUCUAGAAUUCCGCUGUAGGUUAGGGCUGGGAAAAGGGCCAGGUAUAGAGGGGAUAGUGUUUUGUGUAAUUGGUUCUUCCACAAAUGUAGGAAAUCUAUGUAUCCAACUGUUACAGAGUACCUUCUUCUCUUGCUCUUCAUCCAUACUUCAGAAAGAAUGGUGCUCCCUAAUUUUCUGUCAGUGAAAUGGUGGCACACAGAAAGCAAUGACUUUAUUAUGGGAAUGCCAAUUGAUAUGAUUGGUACUUCCUAGAAUGUCAUUAGUGGAGAGAUGUUCAGAGUUCUGACAACUCCUCUUUCCUGUCAUCUGACACAAGACAUGCACUGACAGAGAGAGUCUCUGACCCUUGAGAGAACUCCCUGAAGGCAGUUCUUAGAUUAUGACUGGAGAUCAGACAUUCAGAGGGAGUGAAGUCAUGCCCACCUGGUCCCACCGAGCAGGAGUUAGGAGCUAGUUUGAUCACUUUGACUAAGGGAACCACCAGAUAUUUUCCACUGUUUUCUGAGGGUUGUUUAAGAGUCUGUGUGAUUAUCUGAAACACAACAUUUUUAGUUUCAUUUUUGUCACAGUGACUUGACACUUCUAGGUUAUAUUGCCUUACCACUGUGAAGCCAAGGCACACAUGCAAAGGGGCUACCCAUGUCAUAUCCACACUCAAGAGUGUAGAGAAAUAAAUGCAUCCAUGCAGGCUUGCUUACUUGUGCUCAUUUAAAGCCUUCUGCUCUUAUGAACUCUUUUACCUAAGGCUAGGGAGUGGCACUGCCCAAAUCCGUGUUUCUUCCCAUGUCAUUUAAGAUCAUGAAAUUGAUCCUUUAUAGACUUGCUCACAGGGGAACUUCAUCUAGAGGAUUCCUCUGUGAAGACUCUUCUUCCAGGUCACUUCUGCACUAUGUGAGAGUUAAAAUUAUAGAGCAUGAAUUGCUCCCAGUGGCCACCUCAGAUCCCAACAUUGAAAACUGUCAGACACAUGACUAGAGACUUCAGCUUCUCAUUCUACUUAGGCUCAAAGCUGACAUCUUGUAGGGUAUCCUUUCUGGCCCUCUCGGUUUCUUCCCACAUUAUACCUGACACUGUUACCACUCAGCUCUCAGCUCAUCACUGGGGUUUUUCCACUGUGUCAUUGACUAAUACAUUCUAGACAUAGAUAAAAACAUGUUUGCCUUCAGAUUGAUCUUUUUUUCUAUUUCCUCUGCCAGGUUUUUUUUCCAGGUGUGGAGCCUCUCCCUCCAAUAAAUGUUAGCAACUGGUCAGACUUUCAUGCCAGUUACUUCAGCUAGAC